rnacentral:rRNA from 1 species
AACGAACGCUGGCGGCGUGCCUAACACAUGCAAGUCGAACGCGAAAAGCAGUAAUGCUGAGUAGAGUGGCGCACGGGUGAGUAACACGUAAAUGACAUGUCUUGGAGAGAGGGAUAACCGUUCGAAAGGAUGGCUAAUACCUCAUAAGCCCACGUCUUUGGGGAUGCGGGAAAAGGUCGGGACCUUUCGAGGCCGAUCGCUUCUUGAGUGGUUUGCGGCCCAUCAGCAGUUGGCGAGGUAACGGCUCACCAAGGCUAAGACGGGUAGCUGGUCUGAGAGGAUGAUCAGCCACACUGGAACUGAGACACGGUCCAGACUCCUACGGGAGGCAGCAGUGGGGGAAUCUUGCGCAAAUGGGAGCAAUCCUGACGCAGCAACGCCGCGUGGGUGAUGAAGGUCUUCGGAUCGUAAAGCCCUGUCGGAGGGGAAGAUGCUUACGCCGUC